rnacentral:rRNA from 1 species
UACAGAGGGGGCAAGCGUUGUUCGGAAUUACUGGGCGUAAAGGGCGCGUAGGCGGCCUUCUAAGUCGAACGUGAAAUCCCCGGGCUCAACCCGGGAACUGCGUCCGAUACUGGAAGGCUUGAAUCCGGGAGAGGGAUGCGGAAUUCCAGGUGUAGCGGUGAAAUGCGUAGAUAUCUGGAGGAACACCGGUGGCGAAGGCAGGUCACUGGGCCGCAACUGACGCUGAGGAGCGAAAGCAUGGGGAGCGAACAGG